CCCACAAGUCGAUCUAUUGCAACCCAAUGUUUAACGACUUUAACAUUUUUAGAAAGAUAUUGAAUUAUUUGAAGAUAAAAGACAUGACAUAAGAUUCACAAAUGUGUGUGUGUGUGUGUGUGUGUGUGGGGGUAUUUUACUGGGGGCACCAUGGGG